CAGGUCUGUGUUGCAACAGGCUCACACAGUCUGAAACAAUCAACCAGGAGGAAAGUCAACAACAUGUGUACUCGGCUCUUUCCCACGGUGAUCUUUGUGUUUAUGAGACAAUUAGAGGCUCUGAAGAUGCUGCACCAGAAACUGAAGCCAAAACUACUCACAGAAAGCAAACAGCAGAACUAUGACAGCAGGACAUGAUGAAUCACAGUGAUUUGUUUCUCCAAUGGAGCCACGUUCAGCUGGAAAAGAAGGAGAGGGGGAAUUU